AGUCCGGGAGACUUGCCCAGGUGGGAGAGUUGAACCACUUUCAAUAACUUUUUAAAUUAGGCGCCAAAUUACGCCAAGUGGCAAACAAAUGAACGCGCAUAAUCCGCCAAUCACAAGCAACUCGAAAUUUUGAGUGAUAACAGACGCAUUCGACCGUGAGUUACGAAAAAGUAUUUUCAUCGUCGCGGAGUGAAUUUUUUUGGAUCUGUUGUUUUAAUUGCUAUGCACGCAUUUAUGAAGAAAGAAAAUUCCUAUAAGCCUAAUAAGCCUAAGGAAGGUAGUCGUCACAGGAAACCGUUUACUUAGUCUGAGAUUGAAAAUGCAGACAGAGAAAUAAAGAGUGGCAGAUCUAUUCGUCAAAUUUCAAUCAAUUAGUAUGGGAUAGACAGAACCAUUUUACGACGGUAUUACAUGUUAGAUGAACAAAAGUUAACACCUUUGCAAGACAAGAGGAGCCAAUACAAAUGCUCCCAGAUUUUCAAUGUAAAUAAAGAGACAUUACUCGUUCGUUACUCAUUGACCUGCAAAAUGCACUAUGGCUUAACCAGAAAACAAGCAAUGCAACUAGCAUUUGACUUCGCCAAUUUCAUUGAAUUACCACUUAUUAAACCUAUGUUGAUUUUACAUGUGCCACAUUUAAUCUUUGAGACUGAUAGUUAUAGUAACAAAUGUCUUUAAAUUAGUUUUGUAGAUUUAUGUAGCAGAUCAAAGAUCAAAACGAAUGUUAUGUUAUGCAGUUGCUCUGAAAACAUUUGGUUAAUUAUUUUCACUAAUUUGUUUAGAAGGUGAUUAUGAAUAUUUUAGUUAUUGUUAAACGUGUCUAAAUAAUACAUUAAUUAUGUGUAGGUAA